rnacentral:pre_miRNA from 1 species
CAAAGUGCUGUUCGUGCAGGUAGUGUGAUUACCCAACCUACUGCUGAGCUAGCACUUCCCG